AGGAGGAACAACCACAGUGGUGGCGGCCAGCUCUGGAGCCCUGGAUUCAGCUCCCACAGUAACUAUGGAGCUUUUGGUCUGCAGGGACUGUAUGCUCUGGGGCUGG
rnacentral:pre_miRNA from 1 species